AUGGCCUUCUGUCUGUGCACGUCUGUGUGCAUCCAAUCGUGCAUCAGCUUCCGUCCAUCCCUGCACUUUUCCUAUCCCCUGUCAUCCACCAUCCACUCAUGUACCUACCCACCCGCCCGCCACUCACCCCUCCACUCACCCCUCCACCCACCCAUCCAUCCACCCAUCCACCCAUCCAUCCAUCCAUCCGUCCAUCCAUCCAUCCAUCCAUCCAUGGACCCAAACCCUCAUCUUUAUACUUUUCUUGAAGGACUGAAAUGUGCCCAUCUCGGGCCGAGGGUGGCAGGAAGUGAUCCAAAGGAGAAAGGCCAGAUAUACUGUCAGUCCUUGCAAAGCCAUCAUCUGCAGGGUGACAGACAGGUAGAAUGGCCUUGUCCAUCAGUGUGGGGAAGGGUGGGGUGUGGGCGGCGUGGGGUUGGCCUGGUGGAGGAGGUGGCCCUUCCUGUAGGACCCAGCACAGCUGAUUCUGGAGGCCUGGUCUCCCGGGCCAGCCCAGUUCUCUCCCUGGUGUCUCCUGAUGUGGUGUGGAGACGGCACCAAGAGAAGUCUGCGGCAACCACCCACACGGGGGUGCUGCCACCAGCCUGCCCACCCGCCAUCUGCCUCGUUCCUUCUCUUCCCCAGCACACCGGAGCCCGUGGGCUGCCUGGCUUCAGCACAGUCGCCAGCUGCACACGUGGGCCCUGGACACCUGCCCUGUGAAGGCCGGCACGCUCCUGUCCUGGGAGAGAAGGGGCUGACCGGGAGCUAGGGAACACGACCUCCCCGGCACUUCUGUGUACAAGUGCAUCCCGACUGGUGCCCUGUUCAGUUCCUGAAACGUCCUGGCGGGUGGCACCGAGCUCAGUGAAGAGGGGGCAGGCAGGCCGUGACGGGCCUGGAGUACCACUCUUGGGCCACUCACGGACAGGCCCUGGCCAAGUGCUGGCUGCUGGGCAAAGAGCAAUGGUGGGGUGCAGUGACCCCUGGCCUCUUGAAGAAGCUUCCUGUGAGGGCCUGUUCUUAACAUCCGUGUCACGUGAGGCUCUCCCUGCCCUCCUUCGUCCCACUCCGGAUCCCAUCCACCCUGCUCCCUGCCUGCCCUGGGGCUAGCGGGGCAACUUCCCUUCUGCAGCCGGGUGUCCUUUGUCGUGGGUGGCCGUGCUGGGCACUGUGCAAGCUCGGUCGCCUCCCGGGCCUCCACCUGCUCGGUCGUGAUGACCCAAGUGUCCCUGGACAUUGCCAAGUGUCCCGGGGGUGCAGAGGCCCCCUGAGAACCUUUCCACCUUCCUGGGGCUCACAGGGAAGAAGCCUGGGGCUAGGGCAGCCCUGUGGGCUGGUGAGCAAGGAGAAGAGGCGGUGGCUUCUCAGCUGGACCCAGCGUGAGUCGAAGAGACAGGAGGAUGGGUGUCUCCAGCCAAGGGCACCGCAUGCCCCAGGCCUGGAUGUGUAAGCGAUGGACCAGGCAGCGGCGCUGGGUGGAGGAGGAUGGCUAGGCCCAGCCAGGCAGAGGGUGGGCAGGAGGCUGCCCUGUGCAGCCUGGGCUGUGCCAGGAGGGUGUAGGAGAUGCAGGUUGGGCGUCGGGGAGAAGAGGG
ensembl:lincRNA